rnacentral:rRNA from 1 species
UACGGAGGGGACUAGCGUUGUUCGGAAUUACUGGGCGUAAAGGGCGCGUAGGCGGCCUGGCAAGUGGAAGGUGAAAUCCCUCGGCUUAACCGAGGAACUGCCCUCCAAACUGCUUGGCUUGAGUCCGGGAGAGGUGAGUGGAAUUCCCAGUGUAGCGGUGAAAUGCGUAGAUAUUGGGAGGAACACCAGUGGCGAAGGCGGCUCACUGGACCGGAACUGACGCUGAGGCGCGAAAGCGUGGGGAGCAAACGGG